rnacentral:lncRNA from 1 species
GGUUUUAUUUUGUUUUUAGUUUUUGGCAAAAUGCCAAGCCCUGGGUCAUGCCUGCCUUCUGUGUGUAAGUUAGAACCUUUCAUUGAGUAGUAAAGAGUUAAUGUGCAUGACUAAACAGUGCCAUCUAGCUACUAUAAAGACAUUGGAACAAGCAGUAUGCUUCUGACCUUAUCCUAUGUUGUAGAUAUGUCCACACUUUGGGAGAAUUCCCAAAGUUGUAACAUUGAGAAAUUCCUUUAUGCCAUUAUGCAAAAUUAAUUUUCUGUCCAUAAUGACUGUCUAGAGACAGUAAAAAUAGAAAGUUGGGCCAAAAAGCAAUGUGAAGUAAGAAUUUAAAUACAACCCCAUUUUAAAAAAAUGAAUUUCUAUUUAAGUAAUUUGUUGUAAUAAAGCCCAGUAUUUAAUAAAAUGUACAAUGUAUAAGUCUCAGCUAACUUCUUGGUUUGAUUUCUAGAGUUCUGCCUCUCACUUGGCUCCCUUGAUUGGUUUUAUUUGUUUGUUUGCUUGUUUUUUAAUUUUUUUAAAAGGUUCUUAUAUUAACCUACCUUCCUGCUCUGUGUAGCAUAAUGUAGCAACUGAGCACGCGUCUGGAUGUGGUGCUGGAGUUCCUGUCUCAGCUCAGCCCCUUUCCUAUUUGAGAGACAGGUAAAAUGCCCUUCCUUGCUUCUACCCUCUGGUGCCCAGGAAGCAGUUGUUCGUCAGUAGUUUUGCCUUUUCUAGGUUUUCUGGUAAUGGAUUCACACAGUCUAUAUGUCCAGCCUCUUUCACUUAAUAUAAGCAUCGAGAUAACUCAUGCUUACUGUACAUAUUAGUAAUUUUAUUGUUUAGUAUUUUCUUUUAUGGUUAUGUUAUUGUAUUCAUUUACCACUUGGUGGACAUUUCAUGUAUUUUCAGCAUUUUGCUGUUAAUGAAUAAAGCUGCUCUAAAUGUG